CACACACACACACACACACACACACGCACACACACGCACGCGCGCACACACACACACACACACACACACACACACACACACACACGCACGCACACUCGCACACACACGCACACACACACAAUAACUGAAGGAGAAACUCAGUCAGAGCAAGAACCUCCCGCCUUUGGCAUAAACAAAGCGCUGUUGUGCAAACACAAAUAUUAUCCUAACCCUGACUGUAACGGAUGCCUGCAGCCUUUCAGACGACUAUUAGAGAAUCAUUAAGUAGAAAUUAACAAACAGUUUCUACCUGCAGAACUGAAAGUAUCACAAUAAAAGCAUCCUCCUCUAUUGUGUGCCUGUGAUUGCACGUCGGUUUGUUUUACCGCCGGGCGUGGGUGACUCUCCUCCGCAGCCUCGGAGAGAGAGAGCCCAAUUAGGCGGUUCGCCCAAAAAUGUGACCUUUGACUGAGAUGUUCUGGUCCAAGGAGCAGCAUUGUUCUCGUUCACGUGAAAAUUUCCAACUGUUGCUGCAGUGAAACGUUCCUCUGAGGCUCUGGGUCUGAACGUAAAUAAAAGGCUGCAAGAUUCACGUUGGUUCAUGAUGUCAGCCCCGCUGGCGAGCCGGUGCAUGUCACCAGGAUCAGGAAAUGAAACUUUUACCUACUGGGCAGCAAGUAGCUCAGGAGGUAGAGCGGGUUAUCCAGUAAUCAGAAGGUUGCAAGUUCAGUCCCGACUCCAGCGAAUGCUGCCGUUGUGUCCUUGGGCAAGACACUUAACCUGCCUUGCCUGCUGGUGGUGGUCGGAGGGACCGGUGCCGCCAGCAUUCGGCAGCCUCGCCUCUGUCAGUGCUCCCCAGGGCAGCUGUGGCUACGUUGUAGCUCAUCCCCACUAGCGUGUGUUGUGAAGCGCCUUGGGGGGUUGUAGAACCCUAAGAAGGCGCUACACAAACACAGGUCAUUUACUGAUGUUGUUCGUGGUUCUGAAGAGCUGUUGUCCAAAUCUGUCUGUCCCCUGAUUACUAUAACUAUAAAAUAAUAAAGUACAUACAAUACACGGGUUUUUAAACUGUGCCCUUUGAAAGCUGAACAACAUUUCUUUAUGAAAACUGUCACUGCAACUUCUUCUAUCUCCAGUUUUAGUGCAGAAUGAAAAAACUGCAGGAGACGGAACUAAACGAAGUUUUAAAUGGUAAAUGGCCUGUAUUUGGCGACGCUGCCGAGCACAGGCGCCACCGGUCCCUCCGACCACCACCAGCAGGCAAGGCGGGUUAAGUGUCUUGCCCAAGGACACAACAACAGCGACAGACUGAGCGGGGCUCGAACCUGCAACCUUCUGAUUACGGAGCGAGCGCUUAGCUCCUGUGCCACCGCCGCCCAGUAAAAAUGUCAAAUAGUUCAGCUGAGUGAAGAAAGGUCAGGGCCGUUUGCUACCCUUGGAAGUCGUGCUGCGUUCUGGCCCAAAUGCACCCAGAGAUGUGUCAUUGACAUCAGGUGACAUUUGGAGUCUGAGAGUCUCUUGAGCGUCGGACCAGUCGCGUGGUGCUUACUGGCUUCUCGGUGUGUCCUGGCUGUCAGAAGGCAAGCAGCUCCCACAGCCAGGCUGUCAGUCUUCUACGGUCGCCUCGGUCGGUUUUAUUCUGCUCCAACCUGUCACCACCAGCGCUGUCUCACUGUCACUCAUCAGUCUUAUAGUUCGUUUCACUUCCAACUUCAUGCUUUUGUUUUAGACAAAUAAGGAUUUGACAUUUUAAUAUUUUAAACACACUUCUGUUAAAAUUUUCUGUUUUUUCUGGACCUUUUUCAAAGAAACAAAUACUUUCCAUCCUUCUCAAGCUUUGUUUCAUAGCAGUUAGAUGACAGACGGGGGUUUCAGAAUGGAGCUUUGUCAUGUCCUUGUGUUCAGAUCCCUUAUUCUGUGUGUUAAGCCACCCUUUCAUGCAUGAAGUUGUGUGAGAAUGUUUAGGAAGAGUUGAAAAGUGACAGUGUGCUGAAAUUAUGCACAUAACCUUGUUUGUAAAUGUUUGGUGUGAUGCCGUGUGGAUGAGCGGGGGACGAAGAGACCUCAAACUAUGGAUCUAUCUGGCAUUCAUUCAGUCUAGACCAGGGGUCGGCAACCUGUCCCCAUCAAAGAGCCAUUAUUACCCGUUUCCCACAGUAAAGAGAGCACUGGGAGCCGCAGCAGCCGCAGCAUUGUGGGCGGGGCCUACCCUCAGACAGCAGAGAGCUGCUUUAACCAAUCACAACAGGUGACAGCAGCCAAUACCAGUCGCUCAUGUACCUCAAAGUUAUCUUUCAACAGAAGAUAAUUAAUAAAACAGUUUGUAUAAAACUGACCCAAAAGUUGUAGCCCGUCUGUGCUACAAUAUUUCCAUUUUUUUCACCCUGCUGGUGGUUUUAAUGGUUGAGCAGGUGACGCUUUUUCAGGAGUCACACAUAACUGUUCAGAAUACAAGUCCAGGCUCUGUCUCGUUGGACGGUUGUAAUUCAACUUUGUACUGAACUAAACUUUGCAUUAAACAUUGUUGAAAAGGUAAUUAGUUGUUUUUCCUCGUUUACACUGGCGGAGGUAACGGCGCAGUGUGGUGGCUCUGGUGUUCAUCAGGUUUAAUGUUUCUGUCUGCAACAAUCUUCACUAGAAGGUAAAACGGUUAAAUGACGGGGUUCGCACGACCCGAUGUUUUCCGUAUUUAUUUUGACGGAGACAUCUCAAGCCUGCAGAUGUGCUGACAUUUCAACGCACAUGGUGGAGGUAGCUACAUCAGUCAGGAAAAGAUUCCCAUCAGAACAUCUGAGGUGGACACUGAGCUCAGCGCAGCUCGCUGUCGGCGUGGGCGUAAGGUGGACAGCGAGCUGAAGAUAGAUCGGGGGCUUGGAGCGCGUCGCAGAACCAGAACCAUGCAGGAAGAUUCUGUGUGUUCUAAACCCGGUCUCUCAGAGACUUGUCACUUAAGAAAUGUUCCCUAAUUAUGAAUCUUCAGCUGAAUAGUGCCUGUUCCUGUCUCCAACACUGCGACGCAUCCCUGAGCCUGUCUGAGGAACAGUCCAGAAUCUCAUAUCCAGCUCAGAAAGCUCCUAUAGACAUUUGAAUCCGCACAAGCAGGUGACCUGUUCACGUUUACGCAGACAAUCUUUAAAUUUAGAAUUGGCUACAGAUGAAAACAUGAAUAAAAUACAUUGUAAUUAAAUAUUCAUUAAUUAGUUUACAAGCAGAGAGCCGCAUCAGAUGGAUGAAAGAGCCGCAUGCGGCUCCGGAGCCGCGGGUUGCUGACCCCUGGUCUAGACAUUCCCAGUACAUCGUGGAACGUGAGUGGUGCUCCAACAUUCUUUAUUUUUGUCCAGCAACAUUUAUAGUAGCCCAGGCUACCAUUAGUAGUAGCUCAGCCUAGCGUUGGCAUCAGUCAAGGCUAGUAUAAGCUUUAGCUCAGACUUGUUGAAGGCGGUAGCUCGGACUGGGGUCGGCAGUAGUUUAAGGAUAGUGUUAGCUUUAGCGCAAACUUAGCGAAGGCGGUAGCUCGAACUGGGGCAGCAGUAGUUAAGGCUAGUGUUAGCUUGAGCUCAGACAUAGCGAAGGCGGUAGCUUGGUCCUGGGAGAUCAGAGUUCAAAUCCCAGAGGAGUCAUACCAAAGAUUUUAAAAAUGGGACCCAAUGUCUCCCUGCUUGACACUCAGCUUUAAGGAGUUGGAUUGGGGAGUUAACCCCAAACAGUUCCUGAGCUUGGCCUUGUCUGCAGCUCACCGUUCCUCAAGGGGCAACAAUCUUCACUGUGUGUGUGUGUGUGUGUGUGUGUGUGUGUGUGUGUGUGUGUGUGUGUGUGUGUGUGUGUGUGUGUGUGUGUUAGCAUUACCGUGGCCAACGUUUAAAGGUGAUCUUAAAGAGCAAGUAACGUCUAAAUUAACUUUUUUUUGCUGAUGAACUGUAUAAAUGAGUGUCUAAUAGUGUUUUAAAUGUGUGCAUUCUUUAUUUUAGCAUUUUGGUGCAUUUUCUUUAAAAAUUAAAAAUUCUGUCUAAAAACCACAGUAAUGCGCCACCUUCAGCUGAAAACAUAGAAUUUGAGUCAUUUUGAAUAAAUUUUAGCCAAUGGCUAAAGAGUAAAGUACUACGUAAACCAGUAGAGUACUACGUAGCAGCUCCGUGCCAAAGUUAUAAAAGCAACGAGCGUCUCGGCCACGCCCUGUGGCGAGUGGGAGUUGGAUUUGCAAGCGAGUGUAGGAGGUCAGCGGUAGUUCAGCAUUAGCAUAUAGCAUUAGCAUAUCCUAGUCUUUAGCAUAGCUUUUAGUGUUAUAAAUACUUAUUUAGUGUUAGCUUGGCUGUUGUAUAUUGUAGUUUAGUUAGUGUUUGGCUGUUAGUGUAAUUGGGAAAGUAUUUCGGGUUUAGUGUUCCAUAUCGUCUUAGUAUUGGUGAGUAGGUGUAGUGUAGUAUGCUUGUGGUGACUCUGGGCAUUUUACCCGCGAUUCUGCACGCCUCCGUUUGAAGAGGGAGGCUGCCCACCGUGGCUCUUCCGCGAUUUAGAUGCAGCCCACCGACUCUGCUCCCCCACCACGGCGGGCUCCAGUCUGAGGUGAGUAAGCUAAAUAAACGUUUUAACAUCUUCUAAAGACAAUUCCCUACCUAAAUGCAAAGUCUGAGAGACGUGGUUCACUUCCUUUAGCUAGUCAGUCGGUAAUUCUGCAACAGUGUCUCUAACUAACGCUGCACUAGUUGGCAACAUUACAGCGUGAAAUCCAGCUUGUGACCCGGUUCUGUGAGGAAUUCUGUUCAGGAGGUCGCAUUUCAGGCUCUCCACAUCAUAUGUGACUGACUUUUACGUUAUAACAACGAUCACACACUAGGAAUGUUAUAAAGCGCCUAUAUAGGAGAUUCUUUUGUAUAUUAUCUGACUUUAUAAACUCCCAACAACAAUGUGCUUCUAUUUUUUUUUCAGGCUAAAUCUACCCAAGACACUGGCUGUCAGACUGAUUUAGCUGCAAGGAUGCACUUGUCCAGGCAGACGUGAAGCCUUACCUGUAGCAAAGCCAGCCAGAAUGGAGUUCACAGCCGCAGUGUGUCUGGUGACCCACGGGGACCAUGAUGAAAAUUCAUCUUCCAGAAGGUCCCAGAGCAUCCAGACCCCCUGAAAAGACCAAGGUGUGAGGUGUCUGCUGUUGAUUCCAGCUUCCACCUCAGUGACAGUGCAAGCUCAGUGAACUGUUCAAGGACACUCAGCAAAAUAUGGACUCUACACCAUGAGGCAGGCACACAUUAAUAUUCUAUAAGAGCACAUAAGCCUGGCUGAUCACCUGAUAACUCCUGUCAUCUGGUUAUGACAGCAUGAGGAUGUCCUCACACACCUGUAACCUACCAGCUCAUCUGGCAGAAUAGAGAGAGAAGAGACAACACCACAUCUCCUGUUCCUGGAAAGCCUUCAGCCAUCCUUCGAUGACUGAGAACCUCCAUCAGCUCUGUCUCCUGUCUGCCUACAAUUAUUAUAAUAAAUAUUGUGUUUGACAAGU